rnacentral:rRNA from 1 species
UACGGGGGGGGCAAGCGUUGUUCGGAAUUACUGGGCGUAAAGGGCUGGUAGGCGGCCAACUAAGUCGGAUGUGAAAUCCCCAGGCUUAACCUGGGAACUGCAUCCGAUACUGGUCGGCUUGAAUCCGGGAGAGGGAUGCAGAAUUCCAGGUGUCGCGGUGAAAUGCGUAGAUAUCUGGAGGAAUACCGGUGGCGAAGGCGGCAUCCUGGACCGGCAUUGACGCUGAACAGCGAAAGCUAGGGGAGCAAACGGG